rnacentral:rRNA from 1 species
CAGUAGCCGCGGUAAUACGAAGGGUGCAAGCGUUAAUCGGAAUUACUGGGCGUAAAGCGUGCGUAGGCGGUUUGUUAAGUCUGUUGUGAAAUCCCCGGGCUCAACCUGGGAAUGGCAAUGGAUACUGGCAAGCUAGAGUGUGUCAGAGGAUGGUGGAAUUCCCGGUGUAGCGGUGAAAUGCGUAGAGAUCGGGAGGAACAUCAGUGGCGAAGGCGGCCAUCUGGGACAACACUGACGCUGAGGCACGAAAGGGUGGGGAGCAAACAGGAUUAGAUACCCCAGUAGUCCCUGUCUCUUAUAC